GGGGAAUCUUGCACAAUGGGGGAAACCCUGAUGCAGCGACGCCGCGUGAACGAUGAAGCCCUUCGGGGUGUAAAGUUCUUUCGACGGGGACGAUAAUGACGGUACCCGGAGAAGAAGCUGCGGCUAACUACGUGCCAGCAGCCGCGGUAAUACGUAGGCAGCAAGCGUUGUUCGGAAUUACUGGGCGUAAAGAGUGCGUAGGCGGUUAACUAAGUUUGGUGUGAAAUCUCCCGGCUUAACUGGGAGGGUGCGCCGAAAACUGGCUAGCUAGAGUGUGGGAGAGGAUAGUGGAAUUCCUGGUGUAGCGGUAAAAUGCGUAGAUAUCAGGAGGAACACCUGCGGUGUAGACGGCUAUCUGGACCAUGACUGACGCUGAGGCACGAAAGCGUGGGUAGCAAAC
rnacentral:rRNA from 1 species